UACGGAGGGGACUAGCGUUGUUCGGAAUUACUGGGCGUAAAGCGCACGUAGGCGGAUUUGUAAGUCAGGGGUGAAAUCCCGGGGCUCAACCUCGGAACUGCCUUUGAUACUGCAAAUCUCGAGUCCGGAAGAGGUGAGUGGAAUUCCUAGUGUAGAGGUGAAAUUCGUAGAUAUUAGGAAGAACACCAGUGGCGAAGGCGGCUCACUGGACUGGUAUUGACGCUGAGGUACGAAAGCGUGGGGAGCAAACAGG
rnacentral:rRNA from 1 species